GAUGAACGCUGGCGGCGUGCCUAAUACAUGCAAGUCGAGCGAAUUGACAGAGGUACUUGCACCUCUCGAUUUUAGCGGCGGACGGGUGAGUAACACGUGGGUAACCUACCUAUAAGACUGGGAUAACUUCGGGAAACCGGAGCUAAUACCAGAUAAUAUUUAGCUUCGCAUGAAGCAAUAGUGAAAGACGGUUCUGCUGUCACUUAUAGAUGGACCUGCGGUGUAUUAGCUAGUUGGUGAGGUAACGGCUCACCAAGGCAACGAUACAUAGCCGACCGGAGAGGGUGAUCGGCCACACUGGGACUGAGACACGGCCCAGACUCCUACGGGAGGCAGCAGUAGGGAAUCUUCCGCAAUGGACGAAAGUCUGACGGAGCAACGCCGCGUGAGUGAAGAAGGUUUUCGGAUCGUAAAACUCUGUUGUAAGGGAAGAACAAGUACGUUAGUAACUGAACGUACCUUGACGGUACCUUACCAGAAAGCCACGGCUAACUACGUGCCAGCAGCCGCAGUAACAC
rnacentral:rRNA from 1 species